ACAUAUACCAAGAUGAUCUCAAUUAGUGACCAAUAAGGCUCAUGGCCUAGGGUAGAAACGUUUAUUGCACUUAGAAGGAGUACCUAUCUCAGCUAGACCUAAGUGAUUGAGCUUUCUCACGUUAUAGUUUGUGGCUGCAAGGACACGUGUUAGUAUGGAUCGUAA